UACGUAGGGUGCGUGCGUUAAUCGGAAUUACUGGGCGUAAAGCGUGCGCAGGCGGUGAUGUAAGACAGAUGUGAAAUCCCCGGGCUCAACCUGGGACCUGCAUUUGUGACUGCAUCGCUGGAGUGCGGCAGAGGGGGAUGGAAUUCCGCGUGUAGCAGUGAAAUGCGUAGAUAUGCGGAGGAACACCGAUGGCGAAGGCAAUCCCCUGGGCCUGCACUGACGCUCAUGCACGAAAGCGUGGGGAGCAAACAGG
rnacentral:rRNA from 1 species